CCUCUGGCUUCUUACUCUCAGCUCUCAGUGGUUUACCAAGGAAUUUCUUCUGAAUACACAGGUGCUUAUCCUAAGAGAUAUGUCCAUGUGUCUGGCUAUGGAGAAUAAAAAUCCCAGCAAACCAACUAUUGG
rnacentral:lncRNA from 12 species